rnacentral:tRNA from 1 species
GGGUAUAGCUCAGUGGUAGAGCGCUUGCCUAGCAAGUGAGAGGCACUGGGUUCAAUCCUCAGCACCCA